UACGAGGGGGCGAGCGUUGUUCGGAAUUUAUUGGGCGUAAAGGGUGCGAGUAGGCGGUUUGGUAAGUCUGAUGAGAAAUCUAUGGGCUACAAUCUCAUAGUCUGCAUCGGAAACUGCCGGGCUUGAGUGCUGGGAGAGGUGAGUGGGAAAUUCCUGGUGUAGCGGUGAAAUGCGUAGAUAUCAGGAGGAACACCUGUGGCGAAAGCGGCUCACUGGACCAUGAACUGACGCUGGAUGCAUCGA
rnacentral:rRNA from 1 species